UACGUAGGCAGCGAGCGUUGUUCGGGGUUACUGGGCGUAAAGGGUGUGUAGGCGGUUCUCUAAGUUUGGUGUGAAAUCUCCCGGCUCAACCGGGAGGGUGCGCCGAAAACUGGAGGGCUAGAGUGCGGGAUGGGAGAGUAGAAUUCCUGGUGUAGCGGUGAAAUGCGUAGAUAUCAGGAGGAAUACCGGUGGUGUAGACGGCUCUCUGGACCGCGACUGACGCUGAGACACGAAAGCGUGGGUAGUAAACAGG
rnacentral:rRNA from 1 species